UAGUGUGCCUUAGCCAAUUUGCCAAAG
rnacentral:misc_RNA from 1 species